rnacentral:rRNA from 1 species
CUACGGGCCGCUGCAGUGGGGAAUAUUGCACAAUGGAGGAAACUCUGAUGCAGCAACGCCGCGUGGAGGAUGACACUUUUCGGAGCGUAAACUCCUUUUAUAUAGGAAGAAGAUGACGGUACUAUAUGAAUAAGCGCCGGCUAACUCCGUGCCAGCAGCCGCGGUAAUACGGAGGGCGCAAGCGUUACUCGGAAUCACUGGGCGUAAAGAGCGUGUAGGCGGAUUAAAAAGUCAGAAGUGAAAUCCUAUAGCUUAACUAUAGAACUGCUUCUGAAACUCUUAAUCUAGAAUAUGGGAGAGGUAGAUGGAAUUUCUGGUGUAGGGGUAAAAUCCGUAGAGAUCAGAAGGAAUACCGAUUGCGAAGGCGAUCUACUAGAACAUUAUUGACGCUGAGACGCGAAAGCGUGGGGAGCAAACAGGAUUAGAUACCCGAGUAGUC